GAUUUCUGGUUCGGCGCACUUGGCCCGUCUCGGUUUACGAGAUUGUGUGCCGGUGUGCGCCAUCCAUCCUUCGAUGAAUCCCUGUUCUACCCUUCAUUGGGUUGGAGCAGAAGGUUCUCGAUCUUUUACUUUGAAAAAAUUAGAGUGUUUAAAGCAGGCUUGCGCUAUGAAUACAUUAGCAUGGAAUAAUAAUUUAGGACUUUGGUCUUAUUUUGUUGGUUUCUAGGACUAAAGUAAUGAUUGAUAGGGACAGUUGGGGGUGCUAGUAUUCAGCGGCCAGAGGUGAAAUUCUUGGAUUCGCUGAAGACUAACUUAUGCGAAAGCAUU
rnacentral:rRNA from 1 species